rnacentral:rRNA from 1 species
UACGAAGGGGACUAGCGUUGUUCGGAAUUACUGGGCGUAAAGGGCGCGUAGGCGGUUCGUUAAGUCCUGUGUGAAAUCCCCCGGCUCAACUGGGGAACUGCACAGGAAACUAGCGGGCUUGAGUUCGGGAGAGGGAAGCGGAAUUCCGGGUGUAGCGGUGAAAUGCGUAGAUAUCCGGAGGAACACCGGUGGCGAAGGCGGCUUCCUGGACCGACACUGACGCUGAGGCGCGAAAGCUAGGGGAGCAAACGGG